CUCUAAGUCUGAAACCUUCCUGCUUUCAAGAUUCCUGUAUCUAUUGGAAAACACAGAGCAGCAGAGCCCUUCCCCCACCCUCUUGGUACUAUUUAGUUUCUAAGUUGCUUCAUCAGGAGAAAAUUACUGAGUUCUCCAUUUCCUCUGCUCGCUUUCCUACAGAAGAGAGUGGCGCUAACAUCUUCUGAAUUGUGACUAGAUCGACAUUGUAACAGCUACGGGAGCAGGCCUGCUCCGCAGAACACAAGCGCACUUUCUUCUCUGAGAAAAGACUGGUUUCCUCAGCGUUAAAGUCCCCUUGUCCCCCAACCCGUACCACCCCCCUCGCCUCCCCUCCCACCACCAGCUCAACCCAGAUCACGUUAGAGUCCCAGAGCACAGGGCACAGUUCUCAUCUGUCUGUCACCAAGGAGGCAGACGGGAUGGAGAAACAACAAGUCGCUUGUACCUGAAGAGGAGGACACUCCUGGGAAACAAACAGAUGAGCCACCCCACGAAUCCGAGCCACGCUGGAGCACUUUCCUCAGUAAUGGCAAAACCCGGAGCUGGCAGUGACAUCCUAAAACAAGCUCGUACUUAAUGAACGCCCAGUUUACAAUAUUAUCAACCUAACUGACAGCUCCACAGAGGAGACCAUUAUCCAGUGAGCCUCUGCGCGUUGCAAGGUAAUUCCCAGGAUGCCCGUGGAAGGACUAGCCAUGCUCCUGUUGGCAGAAAGUGCUCUCCGGAUUCAUGCAGCAUUAUGUCCUGAGCUGAGUGGGGCAUGCCUGUGCUGGGUGAAGCAGAAGGGAUUCAACUCAAAGAAGGCCUCUGGAAACUCUUGAAGGUGGCAGCUCUGCAGGCAAGAAGACGCUAUGAGCAUGGAAAUGCAGCACUCACAGUGUCGAUGAGGAGCGGAGACAUCUGCCACUGUCUAGCUGCUGUGCAUACAACCAUCUUCUAUGGCCAUCCUUAUAAACCAGUGAUUUGAGACAGAGACUCUGCCAAGGAUGAAGAAAAUGUCAGCUAUUCUCCAGGGAAGAGAGAAGGGGAUUCUUAGAAUCAAAAAGCCUGACAUCCGGACCAAGUUCUUGCCAUUCUGAGGCAAGAGGUUUCUGGAUCAAAACGGAACCAAAAGGUGCAUUUGGCACCAUUCAAUCAACCUUAUCAGUAGCACCCAGGAAGGCUUUCCUCUGACACAGGGGGUUUCAUCUGAACACAGAGUUCCUGUGAAUCCUGCAGGCUGCAUUCACAAUCCUUGCGACCUGGAAACCAGCCCCAAGCAGGCAAGAGCCGCUGACCCCCACCCUUUCCUUUCUCCAGAACCUCUUUGUUUCUUCCUCUUGAACCUCCAGGAUUCUUUUUGAGAAUGCAUUGUAUUUCCUUUUCUUGAAACAUUUAUACAGAAAUUGAGUCUCCUAAAUUAGCACUCAGGUUAGGACAGAGCAAGACCUGGGAAAUCACGUCUGAAUUCUGCACAGUGCUGGGACCAGAUGGAGCCUCAAGAGAGCUUAUUCAGAGAACUUGGAUCCUCUCACGUCCCUUCGACUGGGCCAGCCCACAGAGGCAGGUUACGGCAGGAACGGAGGAUGAACUUAGCUCUUGGUUUUCUUUGUUCUAGAACCUUUAUUUGCAUGUUUACUUUGAGAGAGGCUUUCCAGUUGCACAGUCUGGCCUUGAACUCUCCAGGUAGUCAAGGAUGAUCUCGACCUCAUCAUCCUGUCUCUACCUUCAAGGGGAGACACCCAUCACCAUACCUGGUUUUAUGUGGUGUCAGGGAUUGAACUCAGAGCCUUAUGCGUGUGAGACAAGAACUCCACCAACUGAGCUACAUCCCCAGUCUUGCUCUAGAACUUCUGAAUAAUGUGGACAUGGUUCAAGGUGCACUGAGCAGUUCCUUGCAGCCUGUAAAAUUAUCGGCGUUUUCAGUUGGAGCGAUCGACUGUUUCCAUUAAUGGAGCUUGGUUGAUAAUGGAGAGUGAGUAGAGAGAUCUCCCUUUGGAAUAAUGGGGAAAAGACAAGUAGCCAUCCUUGCAAUGACUCUGGUUAUUCUCAUGAGAAGUAGCUAUCUUUUUUUUUUUUUUAAACACUUCUGAAAUGAGGCCUGAGGCAUCUUUAGUAGUUAGCCACUGGCUGGCCAACUGCACCUGAGAAAGCCUGAGUAACUCCCAUUUCCUCCAGGCUGUACUCGCUCUAUUGACUUUUCUAACUUUUCAUCCUGUCGGUUCCUUUCCCAAGAAAACUUUAAUUUGACUUCACAGUUUAGACAUGCUAAUUCUUGUCUGUAUUAUAUUAAAUUGCACAUUUUUAACAUAUAGGCUUUUGAAAAUGGAAUUCACAUGUGGGAUAUUUUUGUCGUAAAUUUUUAGAAUUGCAGUAUAUAAUUAUCACAUAGCAUAACAAACUGCCAUGUGGAUCACCUUCUUGCACUGAGGUGUUUAUGUUGUAAACAAGCCUAUCCUUUAAUGGAAUAUUUGCCAGUGCCUGUAUUCAGAGAACUGCUCCAAAGGCGUGUGCUCAGAAGUUAGGAAAUAAUUAUAUUUCCAAACAUAAUCUUUUCUAAUCAUCCCAUUUUUGUUUUAUUUAAAAAUAACCUGGGGGUCUCUAAGACAGGUACAAUUAUCUUUGAUCUCAGCUCUGAGGUACCACCCUUAGAGAAAAUUAUUCAGGGAGGGAGCCAAAUGAAGGGAGAACUGAAAAGGGAGGGGCAAAUAAAUUCAUAGAUUAAGUUUUCUUUUUCAGAAGAAUCUUCACUCUAACCAUAAAUGAAUAUACUAGCAGGAAGCUGCCUAAAUUUAGCUUCUACCAAGCGGGGGGAGUGGCUACAGAGCACUGAAUUGAUUCUUAAGAUUUAACGGAUCACCCAUGUCAUUUAGUGCACAGCAAUGUUCAGUGAUAUUCACAACUGGGCCACUUGCACACAACUCUAUUUGAGGGCCAACAGGAAGCACAGAUGUUGAUGAGAUUUUGGGGCACCACUGUGAAGCAUAUCAAGUCCUUGGUUUACAGAGCUGGAUGAAUGGUGGGUGAGCAAGGAGCAGAAGGACUACCGACCCGAAAAGAACAGGACAGGAGACAAGGUGAGGAAGUGGAUCCCAGGGAUGUGUGCUGAGCCUGGAGAAAUUGGCAUCUCCUAGGUGAGACAGGCAACAGAAGCAAAGAAAGCAAAGACAAGCAGUCUGGUGGUUUGUGGAAACACCCGGAUAUUUCUGAAAUCAAAUAAUUUUAUUCCCAGGGUGGGCCUGGGAAUAAACCAGUGUGUGUACCAGGCCCCUGGGAUGCAUGAGCCAUGGCACCGUAGGAAUUUUGUUUUCCCUGAACAAAAAGUAGUUUCUAUUUUAGUCUCUAGUCUGGAAGCUUUAGUCUUUUAGAAAGGUACAGCCAUGGGGCCACUCAUGGUGUACGCUUUGUACUGCUCCCUCCCCCCAUCCCAUUCCAUCGCCUAUAGAAAACUCUCAGACAGAACCCGACACUCUGGGCCUUUCUUUCCACUGCGCUGUUGAGGAGAGCUCAGACACCUGCCAUAUCCUAGACUCCGAGAGGCACGGCACGGAGGGCAGACACAGGCCUCCAGGAACCCACAGCCAUGCAUUCAUUCCUCCGUGCCAUCUCCUCGGGUCUCAGAGGAUGCUGCAAGGUGGCGAGAAGCCAGAUGGCAAACAAAGCCACUCUGUGUGGAGGGAACAGGCUCUCUCCUCUGUCCCUUUUCCUGUCCGAGGAAUGUGUAAACAUCGUGCCAGUGGCAUUCCCAGAGACACUACUCGCCUUCCGUAAAAUCCAGUGAAAUAGACUUUCCCAACAAUGUAUAAAUGUUUCGUUGUUAGCUUUAUUGUUUCGGAGUUCCAGAGUGUUUCAACACUUCUUACAUACCCAUAUUGGCUCUUUCCAUACUACGGUGUGACCAGGUGUGAUCAAGAUCUUCCUCUGGCAGGAGGAAGACCAAGGUGGCAUAAGCGUCUUCUACCAGCUGGAAAGGCUGCAGCAUGAGGGGAUAGAGAACACCCCACUAAACAAAUGAGUGUCUAAGAGCUGGCUGCUGGGGAUAUACAGGGCCCUGGAGAGCAGAUUCUACCAUUACACGGCUGAGAGAGGGAAACUUGAGAAAUUGGGAGAGGUGCUGAGACUCAGAGAUGGAGUGGUGGGAUGUCAAGAGGGUUUUCCAUAUAGAAGAAUGGCAAUGACACGUGCAGGAGAUCAUAGAAUUUAUAUCACCCAGGGAAUGUGUGACCUAACAGGUUUCAGUGGAGGAAAUCUAGACCUUUUGUGAAUCUUGACUAAUAGAGUGCUUGCCUUUGGCCUUGGGUAUUAGCUAUAGCAAAAGGCGCUCUCCCCAUAGCUAGUGAUACUGGGGAAGUAGCUCGUAGUUUGCAAUCGAGGGGUUGAAUCCAGUUAAGGGCAGACUGGGGCUGGAGGUCAUCUGCUGGGAUUGUCUAUCAAAGCUCCUAGACUUCCAUUAGCUAGAGCAAGGUAACCAUAACUGGAGAAGCACCCGCCUUGAAGGAAGGCUCUCUCAAUAACUUUAAUGGGUGGUUUUAAGUGGCGUUUUCCUGGUUGAGUUACAGUGUCACCUCUGUGUGUGAUGCCAGCUGCCAUGGCAAUGUUGUCCCCACCAAAUAUACCUUAGUAAUUAGGAGAGUUAGAGCAGUCUAAUAGAGUGAUUGAGGACUCAUGAUUUGCAACCAGAGAACACACAGAGCUGUUAGUGAAAUAAUCCAGAAUAACAUAGAGUCACUGGAUAUCCUCACAUAGGUAUGUUCCAGGGGAAUUGGCCCAAAGACACAAUAUUCUAUAAGUCACACUCACCCAAUGGCAUGUGACCACAGGCUUGGGACUACUAUAACCCACAAGCCCAGUUUCUUUUGUCCUUUGGGAUCCUCUCUUUGGUUCAUUCCAGCUGCAUCCACAUAGACCUUUACUAGGUAUCUUGAUUACUGUUAAUGCAGAUGGUCUCUCCCUAUGGUUGAGAGUUGUGCUCAGCACAGUAAAACUCACUCAUAUAUUCCAGGAGCCUGAGAACAAAGUCAAUCGUCCCAAACAUUUCUUUCAAAUGUGGGGAUCUCUCCAUCUAUUUUCUCUGACGCAAUAGUCAAGGCAUAGAGUGAUAUGAUAUAAUUUAUAGAGGUUUUUGCAACAUGGGGAAAAAAUAAACUAGUUCCCUGAGAUCACUAACUAUGGAGACUGUAAGCGUUAGAACUGCAAAUCUCCCCUGGGAGCCAGGUGUAGGCGCUUUUUUAUUUGAGAGAUGAUCUUCGGCGUGAUCCUGGAACUCAGGGCUGAUAAGAGUUCAACCUUGCUAAGUAACCUUGCAAGUGGCUCUAAACCCCUCCGGUGCUCUGCUUCCUCCUCUGUAAAUGCAUGAGAUAAUCCUCACCUUUCAGACCUGAAGAACACAGUGACACUUGGCACAAAGAGCUUGGCACAUUACGAGCGUGGAAUAUACUAUAGAUAUUUUGUUUGCCAAGGAGAUCAAGAUAUUUGGGAGGAGCAGGGAUGAUAUUCUUUACCUACCAUUUAAGGAAUACUCUCCCAAAAGUCCUUAAAGUAAACUUGACUCGAAGGCACAUGAUUACAUUUAUAAUACGGUUCCGAUUGCACAAGUUCACACAGGUGAGCUAAUCCGCGGAUCCAUAAGCCAUCUUCACCACUGUGUGGGUUAUUCUGACCUUCUCCCUGUUAUGAAGUCAGACACUUGGUGUCACCCAACCAAAUAAAAACAAGGCAUACUCUUAAACUCACAGUGCCACGUCAGGCAUUUCCUGCGUGGACGAAGCCAUUCAUAGACAAGACAGACACAGAGCAGACUGUCAGGGAGACAGGGAUCAAAGGCUUGCUUUGUUUCUCUGAGCCACAGUAGCAGGUGAAUAAUGGCAUUUUCUUAGUGGUAAGAACGGGUCUGCUUUUAGAUCAUUCCUCUGUGUUUUCCUUGGAUCCAGGAAGUGUCUGUGAGGACUCAGUAAAGCACAAGGAUAAGACUCAAUCUUCAAUAACAACACUCAUAGGAAGGGUGAUUCUCAAAGACAAUUAGGAAAUUGUCUGUGAGCUUCUAAAACCACUCAGCGAAGUUUACCAAGUCUGAGAAAAAUGUUGAGUGUCUCUCUUUGUGACAAGUACCAUAAAGCUACUAAAGGAACUAUAGGGAAGGAACUCCUUCUGGCCCCUUCUGUUUGGUCCUUAUGUAUAGGACCCAGCGCAGGUUCAAUGAAGAGGAUCCAAGAGAGGGUAUAGAGUAUAUGGUACUAGCAUUCGACGGUAGAUGUGUAGGUGGGGGCAUAGCUCAGUGACACACUGCUGGCCUGGCACGCGCAAGCCUGCUGUUUCAUUAACAGCACUUAACAUGCACAGAAAGACCACGUGUCCACACUGGCCAGGUAACAUCAGAGCUCCUAGGACCUCCCUCUGGACUCCUAAAACUCAACUCCUCAUGGGCUUGUACUUGAUAAUUAGUGAUGAGGUUAACUAUGACUUAUCCUGACAUUUUAGAAUUUAAAUACACAAUUUUAUGUAAGUGCUCAAUGCUAAGGAUUUCUGGAUGAGAUAGACCAGGUGAUGCCUCUGUGAAACCGGUAAAGAUGACUCAAAAAAAAAAUUAUAGGGAGACAGAUAGACAACAACGCACCAGAAGUAAGCCUAGCCAGACAUCACUAGUUCUGUCGCCCCUGACUGACAGUGUGAAGAUGCUGAAGCCUCAUCCUAAAGAUAAGUCAGGAUGCCGUGGAGAAGAAACAGGACAGGCUCAGAAAUAGAAGAGCACGGUGGUGGCGGUGGCAGCAUUCGCAGCAGCCAUAGCUUCAGUGACAAGGAGCAAACUUCAUUCCCCAAGAGUAACUCAGGACUUCCACGACCCUGCGCCUGAGGUCAGAGGGUGAGCCGACCUCCAGAGCCAUCAAUCUGCCACUCACUGCUGUGGAGCCAAAAACUCUCAAGGACCAGCAGGGUGUACUUGAUGUCUUCAGUUGCGUCUCUGCGGGAGAACGCUUAGGGGAUCUGGAGGGUAUGAAAAUGGGUCCUUGUGCACAUCUGUCAGUGCCGUGCAUGCCCCUCGUACUUGUGUCACACUUGGGAGAUACCUCCCAGCUCUCACAUUAGCCAGUUUAAGGGAACUACGAGCGUGAGUGAAUUCCCAGCCCAUAUACUGCAAAGCUGAGUGUGGCCAAGACUGCUUGGUGUGCACAGAAGGGAAAAUAGUUACUAAAGAGAAGACAGCUCUGGUGGGACCCCAGACACGUGGCGGGGUGGGGGUAACACUGUGUAAACCCUAAGCCCCGAGGUGUAACCCCAGCCCCCGCUUCCUCACACACAGGCCUACUGCCGCCAAUCUCAGAGACCAUUGUUCCAGUUUCACCUCUUCCCUCCUCCCCCCUCCAUUCUUUCUUCCUCCCGCCUUUCUUUGUUUAUUCUUUCCUUCCUUUCUGCCAUCAUUUCUCUCUUCUUUCCUCCUUCUCUUCAUUCCUUCGUCUCCCCUCACCCUCCCUCUUUCCUUCGCACCCUGUUCCUUUGUUUAUUCUUUUCUGUUGCCCUUGUGUGCCUCCAUUUCUCUUAUAUUUUAAAUGAUAUUUUUUUACCUUAUUGAAUUAAAAAAAAAACAGGUUUUAUAAUUCCUUUUUCUAAUUUGUAAAAUUUUCUUUAUGCAUUUUUAUCAUUGAGCAGUCAUUUUCUCCUUCAUCUCUUUUUUUCUUCUUUUUACUAUAUUUGACCCACCUUUCCCAUUUGCAUUUUCCUAUGCUAUUUGGCUUCAUCUUAAUUUUAAAACUCAUAUACCUACGCGCUUGCCUUGAAACGUUCUUGUAAUCGUUUGACCUUUUCCUCUAUUCCUAUCCUUCUUUCUUCUAAUUAAUCAACUAA